GAUGAACGCUGGCGGCGUGCCUAAUACAUGCAAGUCGAGCGAACGGACGAGAAGCUUGCUUCUCUGAUGUUAGCGGCGGACGGGUGAGUAACACGUGGAUAACCUACCUAUAAGACUGGGAUAACUUCGGGAAACCGGAGCUAAUACCGGAUGAUAUUUUGAACCUCAUGGUUCAAAAGUGAAAGACGGUCUUGCUGUCACUUAUAGAUGGAUCCGCGCUGCAUUAGCUAGUUGGUAAGGUAACGGCUUACCAAGGCAACGAUGCAUAGCCGACCUGAGAGGGUGAUCGGCCACACUGGAACUGAGACACGGUCCAGACUCCUACGGGAGGCAGCAGUAGGGAAUCUUACGCAAUGGGCGAAAGCCUGACGGAGCAACGCCGCGUGAGUGAUGAAGGUCUUCGGAUCGUAAAACUCUGUUAUUAGGGAAGAACAUAUGUGUAAGUAACUGUGCACAUCUUGACGGUACCUAAUCAGAAAGCCACGGCUAACUACGUG
rnacentral:rRNA from 1 species